rnacentral:sRNA from 12 species
AAAGAACGUCGCCAGAGAACGCGAGGGUGUUUUCACCAGCAUGUUUAUCAUGUGGUAGUCGCACUGGGGGUUCUUUCUUUU